AGAGUUUGAUCAUGGCUCAGAACGAACGCUGGCGGCAGGCUUAACACAUGCAAGUCGAGCGCCUCGCAAGAGGAGCGGCAGACGGGUGAGUAACGCGUGGGAAUCUACCCAUCUCUACGGAACAACUCCGGGAAACUGGAGCUAAUACCGUAUACGUCCUUCGGGAGAAAGAUUUAUCGGAGAUGGAUGAGCCCGCGUUGGAUUAGCUAGUUGGUGGGGUAAUGGCCUACCAAGGCGACGAUCCAUAGCUGGUCUGAGAGGAUGAUCAGCCACAUUGGGACUGAGACACGGCCCAAACUCCUACGGGAGGCAGCAGUGGGGAAUAUUGGACAAUGGGCGAAAGCCUGAUCCAGCCAUGCCGCGUGAGUGAUGAAGGCCCUAGGGUUGUAAAGCUCUUUCAACGGUGAAGAUAAUGACGGUAACCGUAGAAGAAGCCCCGGCUAACUUCGUGCCAGCAGCCGCGGUAAUACGAAGGGGGCUAGCGUUGUUCGGAAUUACUGGGCAAAGCGCACGUAGGCGGAUAUUUAAGUCAGGGGUGAAAUCCCGGGGCUCAACCCCGGAACUGCCUUUGAUACUGGGUAUCUCGAGUCCGAGAGAGGUGAGUGGAAUUCCGAGUGUAGAGGUGAAAUUCGUAGAUAUUCGGAGGAACACCAGUGGCGAAGGCGGCUCACUGGCUCGGUACUGACGCUGAGGUGCGAAAGCGUGGGGAGCAAACAGGAUUAGAUACCCUAGUAGUCC
rnacentral:rRNA from 1 species